GAAGAGACCCACAGGUGAGGAAAAGACAAUCUUCCCAACUCUAAUAAAGAAAGCUACUGAAAUUAACCUAGGGUGGUUAAAUUCAGCAGUGGGCCAUGGCAACGGAAAACAUUGCAAAAAGUACAACAACUCAGCAGGACUAUUUGCCAAUAAUUUAUUUUCAUCAAGAAAAGAAAAACAUAUCCUUGGUAACCUGCCAAUUCUCAACAAGCUAAUUCACGUCAAGUCUUUCUCUGGGAAAAGAGAUAAUUAAAUCUUUUGAAAUCUUUGCUCCCUAACUACAGUGGUCAUUAGGGCUGUUCACAAACAUUCUUGUUCUCUUUCCUUCCUGACAUAUGGUGGAUCGUAAUUUCCCCCAUACUUGGAGGCACUGCCAUGUGACUUGGCCAAUGAAAUGUAUGUGGAAGCUGUAAAAGUCAAGAUGCUUCACCAUCUUAUCUUUUUGUUGUCAUGGCAACCAGCAAUAUUCCUAUAGUGGUCGCUCUGUCAGCCCCAGGUCUGGAGUAAGGAUGACAAUGGUGUGGAAUAAAGCUUCUAGCAGACAAUGAUAGAGAGUAUAAUGAAUAAGAACUAUAUCUUCAAGUUUAAGUCAUGGAAAUUUUGAAUUUACUUGUAACUGCAGUGUAGCCCAGCCUAGCCUGGCUGAAAUACUGAUAAAUAACAGAAGUUCAUGUUCAACAGUCCUGUUUCUUCAGAUGCUGGAUUAGCAGCUGUUGGGCUCAGAAAAGGCUACUCCAAAAUAUGGUGCUUUGACAUGCUGAAUGGAGGAAGCAGCCUCAAAAUUCUCUCUGACCUCCCUGCACCCCGUCUCUUAAUCCUCCAUCUCUCCCAAAGCACAGGAUGAAAUUGUUAUCUAAAGUUCCCGUAUCUGCCUACAGUCCAGAUCUGCCAAGGGAAAAAACAAAUCCCUCUCAUCCCUUCCCUGAGUUUUAAUUAACUAAACUCAUAUCACAGGAAGAAAGACAAAUCUGUUGGCCAGGCGCGGUGGCUCACGCCUGUAAUUCCAGCACUUUGGGAGGCCGAGGCAGGUGGAUCAUGAGGUCAGGAGUUCAAGACCAGCCUGGCCAAGAUGGUGAAACCCUGUCUCUACUAAAAUAAAAAUGCAAAAAAGUUAGCCGGGCGUGGUGGUGGGCGCUUGUAAUCCUGGCUACUCAGGGCUACUCAGGAGGCUGUGGCAGAGAAUUGCUUGAACCCGUGAGGUGGAGGUUGCAGUGAGCCGAGAUCACGCCACUGCACUCUCCAGCCUGGGCGACAGAGUGAGACCCAGUCUCAAAAAAAAAAAAAAAAAAAAAAAAAAAAAAAGGACAAGUCUGUCAACAAACCUGGACAGCCUUUUGUCCCAAAACAUUGUCUGCUUUGUGAGCCCAACAGGCUUUGUCUCAGGCCAUUAUAUGUUCUUGGAGCCCAUUAAAUUCCCCUAAAAAUCAUUUACUAACCCCCUUACAUCACUCAUACUUCCCCAUCUCCCUUUCUUCUAAGAAGAAAGGCAUAAAAACAUCUAGACCCCAAUUCACGGAGAAAGAGGGGAUAAUAUCUGGGAUUUUCCUCCAUGCACUUUAAUAAAUUUAUAUGCUUUCCUCCUAUUAAUCUGCCUUUUGUCAGCUGAUUUUCAGCAAACCUUUAGGGGGCAAAAGGGAAGUUUUCCUUUGGCUGCUACACAGCUCUGAACUGAUGAGGAAGAGCUACUGCGUGUAAGAGUCUGGCUACGAGCCAGGUGCCUUCCAUCCUACAUCUCAGUUCAAUUCCACAAUAAAAUGGAAAGGCAGGUAUUACUGAACUCAUUUUACCUAUAAAGAACCUGAGAAGCGAAGUGACUUGCCCCAGCUCAUUGGCAAGCAGCAGAGCUAAGACAGGAAGCCAGGUUUUCCGAGUAUAAAACCCAAGCAGAGUCACUAUGCUGUACUGAGACCUCCUAUUACUGAUUAUGAACCAAGGUAAUUUUAUCCUACUUGAUAACUCAGAUGUCACCUCCUCCUGAAUUAGUCACUUUUAUAUGCUCCUCUUGUCUCUCUUCUUUUCUAUUUUCUCCAAGAACUGAGCUGUGGGACGCUUACCCUCAUGAUAUUCCCUUACUUUGAGAUAACUGCGAUUCUCUCACUUAAUGGCAAGGAAAAAAAUACUUGGAAUGUGGCCCCUGAAAGAGAUUAGGACGCAGACACACACAGAGGGAAGACCAUGUAAAGACAGAGAGAAGAUGGCCAUCUAUAAGCCAAGAAGAGAGGCCCCAGAAGAAAUGAACGCUGCUAAUACCUUGAUCCAGGGCUUCUUGCCUCCAGAAUGACUGGGGUGAUUGGUUUCGUGAAGAGGACCGCAAAGGUAAGGUGCCAUUUUUAUCACAUGAAGUCAAGAGCACAUUCAUACUAUGUAUAGAUAGUACAUACUAUCAGUAUGACUGUUGACCCUGACUUCAAUCACCUGAUUGAGCUAGAGUUUACCAGGUUUCUCCAAUGUAUGAUCACUUGUCCUCUCCCCCUUUCCUUAUUAUACUUUUGUGUCCGGAAUUGGUGGGUUCUUGGUCUCACUGACUUCAAGAAUCAAGCUGCGGACCCUCACGGUGAGUGUUACAGCUCUUGAGGUGGUGCGUCUGGAGUUUGUUCCUUCUGAUGUUAGGAUGUGUUCGGAGUUUCUUCCUUCUGGUGGGUUCGUGGUCUCGCUGGCUCAGGAGUGAAGCUGCAGACCUUCGCGGUGAGUGUGACAGCUCAUAAAGGCAGUGUGGACCCAAAGAGGGAGCAGCAGCUGGAUUUAUUGCAAAGAGUGAAAGAACAAAGAGUCCACAGUGUGGAAGGCAACCCCAGCGGGUUGCCACUGCUGGCUCGGGCAGCCUGCUUUUAUUCUCUUAUCUGGCCCCACCCACAUCCUGCUGAUUGGUCCAUUUUACAGAGAGCGGAGUGGUCUGUUUUGACAGGGUGCUGAUUGGUGCGUUUACAAUCCCUGAGCUAGACACAAAGGUUCUCCACGUCCCCACUAGAUUAGCUAGAUACAGAGUGUGGACAAAAAGGUUCUCCAAGUCCCCACCAGAGUAGCUAGAUACAGAGUGUGGAUUGGUGCAUUCACAAACCCUGAGCUAGACACAGGGUGCUGAUUGGUGUGUUUACAAACCUUGAGCUAGAUACAGAGUGCUGAUUGGUGUAUUUACAAUCCCUUAGCUAGACAUAAAGGUUCUCCAAGUCCCCACCAGAGUCAGGAGCCUAGCUGGCUUCACCCAGUGGAUCCUGCAGUGGGGGGCUGCAGGUGGAGCUGCCUGCCCGUCCCGCAACGUGCGCCCGCACUCCUCAGCCCUUGGGUGGUUGAUGGGACUGGGUGCCAUAGAGCAGGGGGCUGCGCUCCUCGGGGAGGCUCGGUCCGCACAGGAGCCCACGGAGCUUGGGGAGGCUCAGGCAUGGCGGGCUGCAGGUCCCAAGCCCUGCCUGGUGGGAAGGCAGCUAAGGCCCUGCGAGAAAUUGAGCACAGCAGCUGCUGGCCCAGGUGCUAAGCCCCUCACUGCCCGGGCCGGUGGGUCCGGCUGGCGGCUCCGAGUGCGGGGUCCGCCUAGCCCACGCCCACCCGGAACUCGCGCUGGCCCGCAAGCACCACGCGCAGCCCUGGUUCCCGCCCGCGCCUCUCCCUCCACACCUCCCUGCAAGCUGAGGGAGCCGGCUCCGGCCUUGGCCAGCCCAGAAAGGGGCUCCCACAGUGCAGCAGCGGGCUGAAGGGCUCCUCAAGUGCCGCCAAAGUGGGAGCCCAGGCAGAGGAGGCGCAGAGAGCAAGCGAUGGCUGUGAGGACUGCCAGCACGCUGUCACCUCUCACUUUUUGGAAGGAAUUAUGUAGAUUUUUAACUUCUAAAGUCAACCUAUAAAAAAAGUAGAAAAUAGUUUUUUAUGAUGGCAGUACACAAUACAAAUAUUAACCAUUUUGUUAGUUGUAAAGUAUAGCUGACAAAAAUGUAAGAGAGAAGAAAAGUGCAGGAAUGGGAAGGGGAGCCACUACAUUUUAUAGAACAGAAAGCCAGAGAUAUGCUAUUAAAAAUCAAUAGAAAUUUGAGUACUUAUUUAAAAAUAUAAAAGUUUAGUUCCAAAAGAGGAAAUAAAAUAUAUGAUUACUGUUUUAAACAUUGGGAAGAGGAGGGUAAUAUGAGACGUGCUCAUUUUUAUACUGUGAAAUUAACGCUAUUGAUUAAAGUUGGUAAACCAAGAAGAGCAAUAUAGAGUGCAAUGGAAGUAAACACCAAGUGAUCUCAUACCAGAUGAAACAAGGAAGUUUUUCUCUGCAGAAGAACUGGAGCUGAGCAAGAAGGGGAGGGAGGAAAGGCUAUUGCUUUUCAAUGGAAAUUAUUUUAUACAAUGUGAUUUAUUACCACAUGCACAAAUUAUUUGCUUUAAACAAGAGAUGAUGUAUAGGGUAGUACCAGGACUCCUACUGGACAACCUGGUAUGACCCUUUUUUUGGGUAGCACCCAGCUUCAGUUAUACAAGCAAACCAGCGAACUGCAAAACCUUCAUCCAUACAAACCACAUUACAACGUGGUGUUUUGUUGGAACCUCACUUGUGAGAUAGUCAAAGGAGCAACCCUCUUAGGUCUUUGAUUUGUAGGAAAGGCAUUAAAAAAAGAACUUCCUUUGUUUCCCUGGGAUUAAAGAUUAGGAAGAUUUCAGUUGCAAAAAAAAAAAAAAAAAAAAAAGAAAUUGGCUGAAAGAGGUGUCCAAUUGUCUCUGGUUGCAAAGUAUUGGCAAUCAGUGGAAAUCCUCUGUGUGUUUCCUGUGUUUAGCAUUUAUAUAACAUGUUUCAAGUUUAAAAGCCCUUUACUGUCAUUAGCUAAUUAUCUCCCAAGGGCUGCAGGGUAGUUAGAGGAAAUGUUGGAAUCAAGCCAGUUUUUAGAGCUGUAAGUUGUAUACACACAUACAACUGUGGCAGCCCUGAUUCAGGGUGUAGUUGUUACACCAUUUCCCACACAUAGAUCAAUCAGUUAGUGUGUGGUUAUUCAAUCUCUGAAGUUCUUUUUCUAGACUUGACAUUUUCUUCUCAAGAGGUACAAGUUACUGAAACAGAAGAGCACUUAUUCUAAUAGCACCUCUCCUAAGUGUCUUGAAAAUAAACAUUGUUGAUAGUUUUAGGUUCAUCAUCAAAUCAGAAUCCCUGAAGUGAGGCCUGAGUUUGGCGAUGGAGAUGUGCCCUGGGUGAUUCCAAUGAAGAGCCACUAUCAAGAACCACGGACUUAAAUGGCCAAUAGAGGUUCCCCACACCCACCAUCAAUAACUAUAUCUCCAAAAAGAAUGAAACACAAUAUGUGGCUACAGAGAACUUUUCAUAAACGCUACCCAUUAAUAAAUAUUAAAUCUUGUUUUGUGCCAAAUAUAUAUUUUACAUUAUCAAAGUGCUCAAGAAAUUUGGAGGAUACAGAAAAAUAAAAAUGCAUGUAUAUCUAAAAAGUCAUCACAAAGAGAA